CAUAAUCAGUCACAUAUCUGAAAUGUAAAAAAGCUGUAAAUCACCUAUGGUUCCAGACUUUUCGGACACUCUCUUAUAAUACAAAAAUUCUUUCC